rnacentral:ncRNA from 2 species
UGUGGGAGCUGGCUUGCCUGCGAUGCCGCCGAUGCGGUCUUUCAGUGACACCGCAGCGAUGCGAUCGCAGGCAAGCCAGCUCCCACA